UACGUAGGGGGCAAGCGUUGUCCGGAAUCAUUGGGCGUAAAGCGCGCGUAGGCGGCUUUGCAAGUCGGGUGUGAAAUCCCCAGGCUUAACCUGGGAACUGCAUUCGAGACUGCAUUGCUAGAGUAUGGGAGAGGGAAGUGGAAUUUCCGGUGUAGCGGUGAAAUGCGUAGAUAUUCGCAAGAACACCAGUGGCGAAGGCGGCUCACUGGCCCGAUACUGACGCUGAGGUGCGAAAGCGUGGGGAGCAAACAGG
rnacentral:rRNA from 1 species